GAUGAACGCUGGCGGCGUGCCUAAUACAUGCAAGUCGAGCGAACAGACGAGGAGCUUGCUCCUCUGACGUUAGCGGCGGACGGGUGAGUAACACGUGGAUAACCUACCUAUAAGACUGGGAUAACUUCGGGAAACCGGAUCUAAUACCGUAUAAUAUAUUGAACCGCAUGGUUCAAUAGUGAAAGACGGUUUUGCUGUCACUUAUAGAUGGAUCCGCGCCGCAUUAGCUAGUUGGUAAGGUAACGGCUUACCAAGGCAACGAUGCGUAGCCGACCUGAGAGGGUGAUCGGCCACACUGGAACUGAGACACGGUCCAGACUCCUACGGGAGGCAGCAGUAGGGAAUCUUCCGCAAUGGGCGAAAGCCUGACGGAGAAACGCCGCGUGAGUGAUGAAGGUCUUCGGAUCGUAAAACUCUGUUAUUAGGGAAGAACAAAUGUGUAAGUAACUAUGCACGUCUUGACGGUACCUAAUCAGAAAGCCACGGCUAACUACGUG
rnacentral:rRNA from 1 species